AGAAUCAACGCUGGCGGCGUGCCUAACACAUGCAAGUCGAACGCGAGAGGGGCUUCGGCCCUGAUUGAGUGGCGAACGGGUGAGUAACGCGUGGGUGACCUACCUUCGAAUGGGGGAUAACGUCCCGAAAGGGACGCUAAUACCGCAUAACAUCCUGCUUUUGAACAGGUGGAGAUCAAAGCUGGGGAUCGUAAGACCUGGCGUUUGAAGAGGGGCCCGCGUCUGAUUAGCUAGUUGGUGAGGUAACGGCCCACCAAGACGACGAUCAGUA
rnacentral:rRNA from 1 species